AAGGGCUUAGCUUAAUUAAAGUAGUUGGUUUGCAUUCAGCUGAUGUGGGGUACAUCCCCGCAGUCCUUA
rnacentral:tRNA from 1 species